rnacentral:lncRNA from 1 species
ACCCCACCAUUCCCCAUCAGGUGCCAGCUAACUCAGGCCCCAUGCCUUCUCACAGGUGAGGUUCAUGCCUGCACCCCACUUUUCACUCUCACUUGCCUGAACUCCCUCUCCUUCCAUCCUUCCUCUUCUCUCUCCUCAUCCUCACCCUUGCUCCCCCUCUCCCCCUCUUCCUCCUUCCCCUCCUCCUCCUAUAUCACACAGACUCCUGGUCUGAAGGAGGAAGAAAGGACUAGCACCCCCCUGCCCACCCCACCAGCUGGCAGAGCAGACACGACAGCCCAGGACCCCGGGAGGCAGGAGGCGGUGAGCCUCCAUCUCCAGCCCGGAAGCUUCUUUCGAAGAACAGCAAGGCAUGACGGGCCUCCGUCUGUCUCCCUCCUGCUCUCCAUCACCGCCCCUCCCCUCCGGGGCGUGCAUCCCAGCGCGCCCGCCCAUCCUGCGGGGCUCCAGCUGCCCGGGGUGGUCGAGCUUAGGCCUGGCUUUCAUCAAAUGCUGCCCAUCCCAAAGGCCACAGCCAAUGCGGAGGAAGAAGGGGGUCGGGGAGGGGGUAGAAUUCUCCAGAUUUUCUCCCAGCCUCCAAAGGGCCUCCAGAGAGAUGAGAAAACUGAGCUGCAAAGAGCUAGAGUGGCUGGUCCUGGUUUAGAGAGAACAUAUGCCCAAAACGUUAACUCGGGAGGAAACAGGAGCACCGGAACACGAGUCCGAGAGCCUGGCUCCAGGCCAGCCCUGCCCUGCGAGGAGACCCACAGCCUCGUGGGGCCAUCUGGCUCCUGCCCCAACGGUGAGUCCACUGUCCCCCGCUCUGGAUCGAGCAUCAUCCACAAGAGGUUGGAGAAGGGAGCAGGGUCGGGCAAGCUCAGCCAGGAGACACCAGUGAGUUCCGAGCCCCAGAGACGGUAGGAGAGGCUGAGGCCCAGAGUGCCAGUGGGGAGUGGGGGUGUCAGAGGGCCGUGCACUAGAAUCUGGGACGAGGUGAUGCAUUGGUUGAGAACCUGGGUGCCCCGUGCUGGGUGCUCUCCAUUGCGUUUUCUCCUGCGAAGGAGAAGUAGCAUGUGGGUGGGGGGUAGAGGGAGUGUCACGGAUGUUAACGUCACCAGGGCAGCUGGUGACAGGCUUCCCGCACACGCCCGAGAGCCAGAAUGUGCUCCCGUGGGGCCCUGGAGCCUUGGGUUCUUGGCAGAGGAUGCUGCCCGGGCCGACAAUGUGCCAGGCCCCGUGCUGAGGGGCUCAGAGCUGAGCAGUGGGCCCUGCCCCGAGGAUUCGUGGUGGGAGAGCUGAGGCCAGAAGAAGCGUCAUUCUCGGUGGUAGAGGGGGGCCCGUGCUCCAAGGCACAUGGGCGGGCGGCUCAGGGCUGGGGACCCCACCACCAGGGGUCAGCUUCUGGACAGAGGGCAAGGCCAGGCCCAGAACUCUGCCCGCUGGGCUGUGCCAAGACCCCAGAGGGGAAGGUUUGAGUCGGGGGAGUGGGGGGUCCCCAUCCCCAAGCCCCUUGUGUCUCAGAUUUUAGGAUGCAAAUAGGGGAUUGGGAGGGGGGUAACUCCUGGUUUAAAAUUCAGGUUCCGGGGCCGGCCCAGUGGUGCAGCAGCUACGUUUGCACAUUCUGCUUUGGCGGCCCGGUGUUCACUGGUUCGGAUCCCGGGUGCGGACAUGGCACCACUUGGCAUGCCAUGCCGUGGUAGGUGUCCCACAUAUAAAGUAGAGGAAGAUGGACAUGGAUGUUAGCUCAGGGCUAAUCUUCCUCCCAAAAAAUGCAGGUUCCCAGGCCCCAUCCCAGAGGCUGUGGUUCAGCCAGUCUGGGCUCAGGCCCAGGAAUCUGCAUUUGACCAGCAAGCCAGGUGACCCUGGUGCAGCAGGCCCGGCAUGGGGCCACUGCCCAGUCCUGUACUGGUGGAGAGCUCCA